CUCCUAUACAAACGCGAGGAAAUACAAAGUCAGUCUUAAAACGAUCAAUAAAAAAUAGUUAAAGUAUUAAUUUACGAGUAUUUCCAAUAUUCAUUCUUUAAGAUAAUAAAUUCGAAAACUCUUCACUCGUAGCCACGUUGCCAUACGCCAGUCCGUUCGAGCCCGGGGGGGGGGGAGGGGGGAUGCUCCCCCAGGAAAUGUUUAAAAAUCCGAGAGCUCUGACGAUAUUUCCUGCAUUCUGAGGAAACUGUAGCU
rnacentral:lncRNA from 1 species